CAGCAGCCGCGGUAAUACGUAGGGUGCAAGCGUUAAUCGGAAUUACUGGGCGUAAAGCGUGCGCAGGCGGUGAGUUAAGUCUGCUGUGAAAUCCCCGGGCUCAACCUGGGAAUGGCAGUGGAUACUGGCUCGCUAGAGUGUGUCAGAGGAUGGUGGAAUUCCCGGUGUAGCGGUGAAGUGCGUAGAGAUCGGGAGGAACAUCAGUGGCGAAGGCGGCCAUCUGGGACAACACUGACGCUGAGGCACGAAAGCGUGGGGAGCAAACAGGAUUAGAUACCCCCGUAGUCCCUGUCUCUUAUAC
rnacentral:rRNA from 1 species